CGCAGCUAACGCAAUAAGUGUUCCGCCUGGGGAGUACGGCCGCAAGGCUAAAACUCAAAGGAAUUGACGGGGACUCGCACAAGCGGUGGAGCAUGCGGUUUAAUUCGAUGCAACGCGAAGAACCUUACCAGGUCUUGACAUACUGUUGCUGGGGUUAGAGAUAAUCCGUUUCUUCGGAACAACAGAUACAGGUGGUGCAUGGUUGUCGUCAGCUCGUGUCGUGAGAUGUUGGGUUAAGUCCCGCAACGAGCGCAACCCUUAUCAUUAGUUGCUAACAGUAAGAUGAGCACUCUAAUGAGACCGCCGGCGCAAGCCGGAUGAAGGUGGGGAUGACGUCAAAUCAUCAUGCCCCUUAUGACCUGGGCUACACGCGUGCUACAAUGGCUAGUACAAAGAGUUGCGAAGCCGCGAGGUGGAGCUAAUCUCACAAAGCUAGUCUCAGUUCGGAUUGUAGUCUGCAACUCGACUACAUGAAGUUGGAAUCGCUAGUAUCGUGAAUCAGCAGUACGAUGGGGGCGUU
rnacentral:rRNA from 1 species